ensembl:lncRNA
AUAUUGGAGCAGGUUGCCAUUUCCUUUUAGAGGGGAUCUUCCUCACCCAAGGAUUGAAGCACCUGCCCCCCCCUCCCCCCGCCCCAUUCACACUGCAGGCAGAUUCUUUCCCACUGAGCCAGGGAGGCCAUUUUAACAACAAAUGCUAAUGCUAAGUCACUUCAGUCAUGUCCAACUCUGUGCGACCCCAUGGACAGCAGCCCACCAGGCUCCUCUGUCCACGGAAUUCUCCAGGCAAGAAUACUGGAGUGGGUUUGCCAUUUCCUUCUCCAUAACAACAGCUAUUUGAGCUCAAAUAAGCAGCCUUCUUUUCAGUCACUAAGGAUUUUCAAACAAAGUUCUACAAGAGAUCAUUCAAUUGGUUUGAUUUGACCCAGGUAGUAUGCAGCACUCCUAUUGGACUUUUUAGAUUACCAUUUCAGUAUGGAGGAUUCCUAUUGGACCUUUUGACCACCAUUCAGUAUGCAGCAUUCCUGUUGGCCACUCUGACAGAUGCUUACGCCGGUGCUUCCAACCAGCGUUUCCACAAUGGCUUCCCAGGAAACCCAAAGGGACAGCAAUCAGGAAGAGGAUUCCAUCCUUGCCUUCUCCCUUUCAAUGGAAGUGGAUAAUUCAAUCAGUCCACAGACGUAAGGCCUCAUCAGCCAGCAAGGAAAGGCAGUCCUUAAGCUAACUCGAGUGUGAAACUGAUGCCUGUCAUUGAGGAAAUGGGAAUUUCUAUACCCCUGAGAAGCGCUGGAGCAGCCGCCAAUACUGGAGCAACCACUGCUGCUCUGAUUUUCCAGUUGAAGGUGCUAGGAGCUCAUCCUAAAGGAAAGCAAGAAGAGUUCUUUUAUCCAGAAGAUGUGUUGAUGAUGAAUACAUCCGAGGUUGGCAUCGUAUCCACAUAGAAAUGUAAGUGGUGGUAAAAGCACCUUUUUAGAUAGAAGAUGUUAUAGGAAUGCGGUUAAUAAUGUA